rnacentral:lncRNA from 1 species
CGGUGAUUGGUGGGGAGAAGCUGCUUUGAUGGAUUCUAUAUUUCGAGAAAGCUGCUUAAAUUUCAUGUACUACGUAUGGUUAAAACAAAUAAAUGUGUACCGAAAAUAAAAAAGAGGGUGUAGCAGAUAAUUCCCAGUAACGGCCAAGGGAUACUUUUAACUUUACUUUUAUAUAAUAAAGUUGGGUGGCCUUUGCUUCCCU